GAUGAACGCUGGCGGCGUGCCUAAUACAUGCGAGUCGAGCGAACAGACGAGGAGCUUGCUCCUCUGACGUUAGCGGCGGACGGGUGAGUAACACGUGGAUAACCUACCUAUAAGACUGGGAUAACUUCGGGAAACCGGAGCUAAUACCGGAUAAUAUAUUGAACCGCAUGGUUCAAUAGUGAAAGACGGUUUUGCUGUCACUUAUAGAUGGAUCCGCGCCGCAUUAGCUAGUUGGUAAGGUAACGGCUUACCAAGGCAACGAUGCGUAGCCGACCUGAGAGGGUGAUCGGCCACGCUGGAACUGAGACACGGUCCAGACUCCUACGGGAGGCAGCAGUAGGGAAUCUUCCGCAAUGGGCGAAAGCCUGACGGAGCAACGCCGCGUGAGUGAUGAAGGUCUUCGGAUCGUAAAACUCUGUUAUUAGGGAAGAACAAAUGUGUAAGUAACUAUGCACGUCUUGACGGUACCUAAUCAGAAAGCCACGGCUAACUACGUG
rnacentral:rRNA from 1 species